CACGUAGGGUGCGAGCGUUGUCCGGAAUUAUUGGGCGUAAAGAGCUCGUAGGCGGUUUGUCGCGUCUGCUGUGAAAAACUCGGGGCUUAACCCCGGGCCUGCAGUGGGUACGGGCAGACUAGAGUGCGGUAGGGGAGACUGGAAUUCCUGGUGUAGCGGUGAAAUGCGCAGAUAUCAGGAGGAACACCGGUGGCGAAGGCGGGUCUCUGGGCCGUAACUGACGCUGAGGAGCGAAAGCGUGGGGAGCGAACAGG
rnacentral:rRNA from 1 species